rnacentral:misc_RNA from 1 species
UACGAACUGUGCGAACGUUAUUCGGAAUCACUGGGCUUACAGGGUGCGUAGGCGGCCUGUUAAGUAGGGUGUGAAAGCCCCCGGCUCAACCGGGGAAUGGCGCCCUAAACUGGCGGGCUGGAGUGAGAUAGGGGUGUGUGGAACUUCCGGUGGAGCGGUGAAAUGUGUUGAUAUCGGAAGGAACGCCGGUGGCGAAAGCGACACACUGGAUCUUGUCUGACGCUGAGGCGCGAAAGCGUGGGGAGCAAACAGG